GAAAGGUUCUGGAGAAAAAAGACGACUUCUAAUCGUAGUUUUAAGCAGUUCAAUUCUGUUUGCCUUUUU
rnacentral:tRNA from 1 species